rnacentral:misc_RNA from 1 species
CAACCCUUAAGCCCUGUUGCUUAGCGUUGGGAAUCUACGGCUUAGGCGUAGUUCCUCAAAAUUAGUGGCGGAGUUAUAGCACUCUUAGCGUAGUAAUUUGCCUCGCUUCUGAGCUGCUGUAGCUGCCUGCCGUAAAACCCCUAUACUUCUAGU